ACUUCUGCUAGUUUCCGGUACAAAUACCUUUUGAUUGGUUGCUCUUUUGAACAAACAGGCAGCCAAAGUGUCAGCGGCUGGCAGACUGCAGCAGGGCUGUAGUGGAGAAAACAGCAGGGAUGAGCAACUGCCAAGUUUCUCCAUUGCAUCUCAGGCAGAAAAGAGUUAUGUCAUGCCCAGACCACCACAGGGCUCCAUGAGGAUUUAUAGAAGAUGCCCCGGGUCUUGGCGCCUCUGGUGCUCCUUCUGGUGUGGCUAAUGAAGAUCGCUGCCAGCCCCCACUCCCUGAGGAUUGCACAAAUAAUCGGUCUCUGUGGAAAGUGCAUGCGGGUGCUGUUCAAGAGACAUUUGUUCCAAAGGGCUUUGAGGCAGGGCAUUCACCCCUUUCUGGAGCUGGUGUUUAUUGUUCUUUCUGCUGAAAAACUCAAAUGAAGAAACAUCUUUGUUCAGAGUCUUGGAGCUGCAAGCUUCCUUCUCUGGCCCGGUGGGCAGAACCGAGGGGACUUCUGCGCCGUGGUCUGAAGUGCAACUGCCAGCCUGGAUCUAGCUGGCGAGGGCACCAGGAGUAGCAGAGAUGCAUCAGCGUGGAUUUGUCUCGGGCAGGCUUGUCCAGCCUGUAUGUGAGCUGCUCUCAAUUGAGCCUAUGGAGGUAUGGGUUCUAGUUUUGACCUGAUCCAGGCCAUUAAUACUGUUGCCCCCACCAGCGCUGCUGUGCCCCAUCUUGCCCCUUGCCCUUUUUGCCCAUGUAGUCUGUGAGUUC
rnacentral:lncRNA from 1 species